GGAGAGGGAGAACAACGGGCAGAACCCUAAGGGGUCUAUGUACAAACGUACGCAUCCAGCUUGUCUUCAACGGGAAUGUUCCCUUUUUCUUUGAUUUCUCAACGGAUUUGCUUAUCUUUUGGGCAAGUUUGGGGAUUUGAAUCUUCCAUUUUUCAAACGGUCAUACUUCAUUUGGGUUCUAUAAAUAGAAGCCUUUCUCUUCAUUUCAAAUAACAAGUUCAGAGAUGAAAAAUGGGUUUUCAUACCCACAAAGGGGUUUUUGACAACCCCCAAGAGUGAGAACACUCGGAAACCCGGCUAAGCCAUUGAGUUUCGAGGAAGUUCUCGCUCAUGUUAAUUUUUGGAAGUCGUUUCCGUUCAUCGGAAAUCGAUUUGGGUGGAAAGUUGUUCUACGACUCUUGUUGCUCCCUGUCGCUGCUCGACUAAAAGGUACACACAGAUGAGUAGAAGACAUUGUUAGAGACGUUCCAGCGGGAUUGGCGAGCUCCACUUUCUUCCGGAGUGUUGCCGAGUCAGAGUAUACAUGUUAUGAUUUUUCUUGAUUGGUGUUAGAGACUUUGCAGACAGAGUCGUGGGUAUAGAAAGUCAGUCUUGUAAGCGGCUCUGUAAGCCGACGUACCAUUAUGCUUUAUGUUAUAAAUUUCAUAUGAUCACCGAUUUUACUUGACUUGAGAACGACGAAAAGAAUGUUUCCGAAAGUCUUUAUUAUGUAUUUCAUUUUUAUUUGAUUUAAGAGUCCAAAGAGAUUAUGCUUGGAAUAAGAGUCAGCGGGUUUGCUCGGUCAUAAAUAAGGAUCGAGUGCCCAUCAUGCCCUAACAAGAUUAGGGUGUGACAUUCAUUUUGGUGCACAUUGUGUUUAUAGGAAAUCCCUACUUUCUGGUAAUCACAUCAUAAAUUGACUAUUAAGUUUCUUGUAACAAUAAGCUCCCAGAUUUCUAGCUUUAAAGAAUUUAUCCUUGCCCUCUCUUAGUUUACAA